GGGCGGUUGCGCAUGCGCGCGCGGACUUGCCGACGAGGGGGCGGGGUGCGUUGAAGCCGGAGGAUGAGAUGAUUACAAUGAGAAUGAGCUGGUCAGCCUGCGGACUCUGCAUUUGCUACGAAGGCCUAGAAGAGGAUAUUUCAUUGUCUAUUCCAAGUGGUGUGUAGCAGAGAACACUCUGAUCUCAGGGACACAUACCAUGACAAAUCCUGCGGCAAGAAGAGAGCAUGACCUGGAUGGUGGAUGUUGCAUUCUAGUGGCAACGAUCCUUGUAGAGGUGCACAAUGGCGGGGAGGGCUUUCUUGUGAAGAAUUGGGCUGUAUAUGUUAUCUUUGUUCUUAAUAAAAACAAACCUAGUGUGGGUAAAUGCUAGAACAAUUUUAUUCCUCCAGUCUGUUCAACACUGAGCAUGUGUGACCAGCUCACCAUAAUCACUUCCAGUUCUGGGAUGAACCGCCUUCAUUGACCACUGGGAACUGAAUUUAUUUCUUAUGUAUACACAUAAUAACACAUCUUCCCCCUUUAAAGAAAAACAAACACAAUAGUAUGCCCUCAUAAACCUGCAAGGAACAAUAAUCCUUUCCAAUAAAGAUAUCUACAUUAACUUCAAUUGUAAUGAGCAAAUACAGGGUCUUGUUCACUCACCACCUUUCAAUGAGUCUAUGAGGUAGGGUCUCGGACCGUAAUGUCAUCAAUGCUUCUCCCUAUAGAAGCUGCCUGGCCUGCUGUGUUCCACCAAC